ACAAAUGUAUCAAUUAGAGUACUAUGACCAUCAGAGCAUGUUAUCUUUCCGGUUUCAACCUGUUACUCCAAGUUACUUCGAAUUUAAGUGUUUGAAAAAAAAAAUCUGUCAGCAAAACGCCUCGAGAAUACAAAAGGUUAUCAUUAGCUUCGUUUGGCACGCAAACUCAAAAGGCAAGUGCCUUUCCACCACUCAUUUCUUCCUAUAUAAAGAAUCUGAAAGAAGGUAAAAAGAUCAUUUUCAUCUUAUUUCACAUAGACCCUAAACAAAGAGGAAUAUUCAUUCGUGUGUGUUCAUUAAUGUGGCCUGGUGAUUCAGAGUGUAACUCCUGCAAGUAUGCAAAGCUUUACUCAGAAGAAGAUAUGGACGCUCUUGGGCACGCUCACUCUAUCUUCAGCCAACAGGACCUCCUCGUAACCCAUAGAAGACGAAGUCAACGUCCAACUGGUGUGCAAGAAGUGGAGAAUUUGGUGGUGCCUCCGUCACUUGGCUCUCCGUCUCCCCUUCUAUGGCCCACAUGAUGUUCAAAGUUUAGUAACUUGCCUGAGAGUACCUUGCCAGAUACAAUUAGAAGUUGAGUAAAUUGCCAGAUACAAAUUGCUGUAGGUUCAAAGAAAGCUUUGGUCACGUCACACCAAGAAUAGGGUCUUUAGGUGUCAGGUUCACAUAAAGUCACCACGUCGACGACGAUGACCACCGAGUUCCGCCUAUCAAUGGCAAAGUUCUGGAGUUGACUACUUGUGAUAUGGCGGAGGAUGGACUCGUAGUUCUGGCGCCAUUUUGGGAUGAAUUUGAAGGUUUGGGAAGAGAAAAUGGUAGUGGAUUUGGAGGAAGAUGAUGACAAGAAAAAAAAUUUAGUGAGGUUUUUUCAUAUUUAAUAUAACGGAUUGUAUGGGUUUUGUUGGGUUUAUUGUGUUGGGGAAUGGAAAAGUGGGAAUACUUUAAUAUAUUGAGUGACAUAAUCAGUCAAUUAGAGUCAGUAUAAUUAUGAACUUAUAUUGCUAAAAUUGUGAACAUUAAUAUUAUAAGAAUGAAUAUCUGAUUGUGUA